GACGAACGCUGGCGGUGUGCUUAACACAUGCAAGUCGAACGGAAAGGCCCUGCUUUUGUGGGGUGCUCGAGUGGCGAACGGGUGAGUAACACGUGAGUAACCUGCCCUUGACUUUGGGAUAACUUCAGGAAACUGGGGCUAAUACCGGAUAGGAGCUCCUGCUGCAUGGUGGGGGUGGGAAAGUUUGGGCGGUUGGGGAGGGACUCGCGGCUUAUCAGCUUGUUGGUGGGGUAGUGGCUUACCAAGGCUUUGACGGGUAGCCGGCCAGAGAGGGUGACCGGCCACAUUGGGACUGAGAUACGGCCCAGACUCCUACGGGAGGCAGCAGUGGGGAAUAUUGCACAAUGGGCGGAAGCCUGAUGCAGCAACGCCGCGUGCGGGAUGACGGCCUUCGGGUUGUAAACCGCUUUCGCCUGUGACGAAGCGUGAGUGACGGUAAUGGGUAAAGAAGCACCGGCUAACUACGUG
rnacentral:rRNA from 1 species